CGCAGUGUGGAGCAGUCCGGUAGCUCGUCAGGCUCAUAACCUGAAGGUCGCAGGUUCAAAUCCUGCCACUUGCAACCA
rnacentral:tRNA from 1 species